rnacentral:rRNA from 1 species
UACGAAGGGGGCUAGCGUUGCUCGGAAUCACUGGGCGUAAAGCGCACGUAGGCGGAUUGUUAAGUCAGGGGUGAAAUCCUGGAGCUCAACUCCAGAACUGCCUUUGAUACUGGACGAUCUUGAGUCCGGGAGAGGUGAGUGGAACUGCGAGUGUAGAGGUGAAAUUCGUAGAUAUUCGCAAGAACACCAGUGGCGAAGGCGGCUCA